UAGCCGUAAACGAUACUCGCUAGGUGUCGGCCACGGUGCGACCGUUGUCGGUGCCGUAGGGAAGCCGUGAAGCGAGCCACCUGGGAAGUACGGCCGCAAGGCUGAAACUUAAAGGAAUUGGCGGGGGAGCACAACAACGGGUGGAGCUUGCGGUUUAAUUGGAUUCAACGCCGGAAAUCUUACCGGGACCUACAGCAACAUGAAGGCCAAGCUGAAGACUUUGCCGGAUUAGCUGAGAGGUGGUGCAUGGCGUCAGUGACU
rnacentral:rRNA from 1 species